UACGAAGGGGGCUAGCGUUGCUCGGAAUGACUGGGCGUAAAGGGCGCGUAGGCGGCUCAUACAGUCAGAUGUGAAAUUCCUGGGCUUAACCUGGGGGCUGCAUUUGAUACGUGUGGGCUUGAGUGGGGAAGAGGGUCGUGGAAUUCCCAGUGUAGAGGUGAAAUUCGUAGAUAUUGGGAAGAACACCGGUGGCGUAGGCGGCGACCUGGUCCUUUACUGACGCUGAGGCGCGAAAGCGUGGGGAGCAAACAGG
rnacentral:rRNA from 1 species